GGAGGAAGGUGGGGAUGACGUCAAAUCAUCAUGCCCCUUAUGAUUUGGGCUACACACGUGCUACAAUGGACAAUACAAAGGGCAGCGAAACCGCGAGGUCAAGCAAAUCCCAUAAAGUUGUUCUCAGUUCGGAUUGUAGUCUGCAACUCGACUACAUGAAGCUGGAAUCGCUAGUAAUCGUAGAUCAGCAUGCUACGGUGAAUACGUUCCCGGGUCUUGUACACACCGCCCGUCACACCACGAGAGUUUGUAACACCCGAAGCCGGUGGAGUAACCUUUUAGGAGCUAGCCGUCGAAGGUGGGACAAAUGAUUGGGGUGAAGUCGUAACAAGGUAGCCGUAUCGGAAGGUGCGGCUGGAUCACCUCCUUUCUAAGGA
rnacentral:rRNA from 1 species